GAGAUGAAAUGCGGGGGUUGGGUUCCUUCUGAAGGAACGUAUACAAACAUAAUUUUGGCUUGUGUGAAACAAGGGAAUAUGGUCAAGGCAUUGAGGCUCAAGGAUGAAAUGCUUAGUAAUGGCCAUCUGAUGAACUUGGUGGUUGCAACAAGUUUGAUGAAAGGGUAUCAUCUGCAGGGGAACUUAUCAAGUGCUUUGGAUUUGUUUGACAAACUGGUCGAGUAUGGACUCACUCCGAACAAGGCGACAUAUGCAGUUUUAAUAGAAGGUUGCUGUAAAAAUGGGGAUGUUGAAAAAGCAUUAC
rnacentral:misc_RNA from 1 species